GCGGGUGUAGCUCAAUGGCAGAGCGCUAGCCUUCCAAGCUAGCUGUUGUGGGUUCGACUCCCAUCGCCCGCU
rnacentral:tRNA from 1 species